rnacentral:tRNA from 1 species
UCCAGGAUGGCCGAGUGGUUAAGGCGUUGGACUUAAGUUUCAAUGUACGAAUGUACGCGUGGGUUCAACCCCACUCCUGGUA